UGUGUCAGAGCCUUGAGCUACAGUAGCUGGCGGUCUGCGUGCACCCUGUUAGAAGAAGCAGGCAGGAGCACCGACACGGAAGCUAAGCAACGUACAGCUGU